CCGGCACAUUGCUAGCCGUCCCUCAGUGGAGAGGCGCGGGGAGGGAGGUUUCGGCUCGCGGCUGGGAGCGCGGCCGCCGGUCACUUCUCCAAGGACAAGAUAAGCGCACGCGCAUAAAUUGGCAACACAAAACCAAUUUUGGCCACGGGAAUUUGUAAUAAUCAUUAUAGUCAUUAUAGUAACUUCAUUAAGAGAACCAGUAAUUUCAUUAAAAGAAUCUACACACAAAACAUUGGUGACCCCGACGUGAUUAACGAUAUCGAAACGCUAAGCAAAGCGCACGGACCUCGGACCCGCUACGACCGCUGCGUGACCUUUACGCACGGAGCGUAUGAUCGCCGCUCGACGCAAUAGAAGGUUCCAGACAUCGCGCUAUGCAAUUUGGAGUGCAGACGGAAGGAUCUCAAUAAGGACGGCAUAUUAUCCAGCUUGAAGCCCGCCGGUCAGCGAAGUCUACGCGCCGCAGCCACAGCUUAGCCAGGAAGUGCCCAGUCCCUGCCUGUCUGGGAGGCCUCUCGCGUUAUCAGCAACCUGGAAAUUAGCUCGGCCAACUAUAAGGUGGCAUGGGAGCUUCUUUGCGAGAGGUAUAAUAACAUCAAGCAUCUCAAAAGCCAUCAUUUGCAUGCGUUAUGUAACAUGCAACAGCAACGCGAUUCAGCAAAGAGCUUAAGCCUCGCCUGCGUCUUCUUCUGUGGCGUGUGUUCUGUGCAACGGCAGCCAUCGCCUGUACGACUGUGAUUCGUUCCUUGGAAAGCCGGUUGACGAGCGUAUCGCCGAUGUGGUGCGGUUGAAGCUGUGCUUCAACUGUCUGCGCAAAGGUCACUCUUCUCGUCAAUGCAGGUUACGCCCUUGUUCUUCUUGUAAACAGCGACAUAAUUCUCUGUUGCACAAGGGUGGUUCUCAGGCUGUAAGUACUUCCGACACACACGCGAUCAUAACUACAGCAGAAAAUGAGGUUGAGGGGGAUCAUGAUGACAAUGUCAUGAGUAUGUCAGUCUCAGUGAACAACCAUGUAUUGCUUUCGACAGCGUUAAUAGAAGUUUAUAAUUCAAGCUCAAAUAAGCGUCUAAUAAUUCGAGCGCUGCUAGACAGCGGGAGUCAAACAUCUUUAAUAACCAGUAAGGUAAAAAAUGAAUUAAACUUGACUCCUCAGCCAUCCAGGCUCGCUAUUGUAGGUGUAGGUAAUCAGCCUUUAUCUAAUACUAUGCAACGUUGUUCUUUAAAGUUGAGGUCAAAGCAAACCGAUUUUGAAGCAGAUAUUUCUUGUUUUGUGCUACCUCAAAUUUCAAGU